rnacentral:misc_RNA from 1 species
GAUGAAGAACGCAGCGAAAUGCGAUAAGUAAUGUGAAUUGCAGAAUUCAGUGAAUCAUCGAAUCUUUGAACGCACAUUGCGCCCCCUGGUAUUCCGGGGGGCAUGCCUGUUCGAGCGUCAUUUCACCACUCAAGCCUCGCUUGGUAUUGGGCAACGCGGUCCGCCGCGUGCCUCAAAUCGACCGGCUGGGUCUUCUGUCCCCUAAGCGUUGUGGAAACUAUUCGCUAAAGGGUGUUCGGGAGGCUACGCCGUAAACCAACCCCAUUUCUAAGGUUGACCUCGGAUCAGGUAGGGAUACCCGCUGAACUUAAGCAUAUCAAUAAGCGGAGGA